GUGGGUGUAGCUCAGUGGUAGAGCGCAUGCUUAGCAUGCAAGAGGUCCUGGAUUCAAUCCCCAGUAGCUCCA
rnacentral:tRNA from 1 species